rnacentral:sRNA from 1 species
UGACCAUCACCGGGAGGAGACAAGGACU